GAAGAGUCAGUGCUUGGAGGAGAUGCCUACAAGAAACAUCAAGGAGGUUGUUUUUUCCAGAUUAUUUUUGCCUUGGAUCAGAGUUCCCAAAACAUCCAUCGACUCUGAAAGCCCAGGCAAUUCUGCAGGGGGACAAUGGCUUUGGCACACUUUGUUCUCUCAUGCAGAGGAUGGACAAGAGUGAUUGCUGAUGAGAUAACAGCGUGACCCAAGAGACUCAGCCCAUGUCUGCAAAGUGAUGUAAAAAUUCUCCCCUGCACACUGUGGUUAAACCAAAUCACCCUGGGCUCAGACAGAACUGCAUUUUAUCAAAUAUUAAGCAAGUUAAUAUAAUUUUUCCCCCCCCUUAUUCAGGGCUUUCUUGAUCUCUGGCCACACAGAUCUGUUUCUCUUCCAUUAGGGUAGGGAAGAAGAUGCCUAAAAUUGGUGCAAAAAGCCUUGGGAAGUGGCUUCCACGUGAGAAGCCCUG